UCCACCCCGUUCGGGUGGUGUCUCGCCCUUGGGUGUGUCUGGACGUCUGUGCUGACGUAGCUUCUGCUUGUGGCUAUUGCGUCUCAGUUAUUGCUUCUUCUCUUGCUUGCAGCCAGGGAGGAUGCGCAGAGCCCGGCGUUGGCAAGGCUGGCGCCCUCCUCCGCACGACUCCGACGGCCGGGAGGUCCCAGGCAGCAGUCCCGUCGGGCCGGCUGGCCGCGCGGGCGCCUCCGAGCUCUGUGUUCGGCACACUCGGAACCGGCCCAGACCCGCUGUCCGAGGCCGUGGUGGAGCCCACGGACGUGCCCGCGUCUCCGGGCUGGAGCCUGGGGUCCCGCCCUCGGCUGCCUUCGAGCUGGGGCGCCGGGACACCUUCUUGUGUCCACUAGGGAACCGCAAAGUGGACGGGAUGAGAAAAGUACAGAACCGGGAACAAUGACAGGGUUCUGUGAGCAACCCUUAAACAUAAGAAAAAUGGGAGUGUAAAGAGGAGAUUGCGAAGGGCGGAAGGAUGGUUUUCCUACCUGCGAUUUGGUCCAGUCGGAGUCAUCUUAGAAGCCUCCACCGUAUUGGCUUUCCUUAAACAAUUCUCACUGGGACACUGCCGUGAUCAAAAACCCAGUGGCUCUUCAUUCUGCCAUUCAGUGCCUUCCACUCAAUCACUUUGUAACCUCACAGCUCAGGGGUCCCCUUAAUGCAGCACUUUCUCCUGCUUUGGGCUUGGACAUUGCCCCCCGCCAGGGACCUAAUUGUGUGCCUCUGGAAUUCACGUGUUGAAACUCUAAUCCCCAGUGUGAUGGUAUUUGGAGAUGAGACUUUGGGGAGGUAAUUAGGUUUAGAUGAGGUCAUGAGGGUGGGGCCUUCGUGAUAGGGUUAGUUCCCUGGUAAUUAGAGACACCAGAGAACUCACCCCUUCCACCUCUAAGGACACAGCCAAAACAAGGCAGCCUUCUGAAAGCCGGGAAGACUGACCAUGGGCACAUUGGUCUUGAAUUUAGCUCCCAGAACUGUGAGAAAUGUCUGCUGUUUGAGCAUCCAGUCUGUGAUAUUUUGUUACCACACCUUGAGCAGACUUAACACCAUCUCUGUGUUUGCAUGGUUUAAAAAUUAAACAGCAUUUCAAAUAUUAUGGAGGUCACUAUGGGAAUGAGAAAGAAAAGGGACAUAUAUGAACUGUAGUGUAAAGAAAAACAUAGUGAUUGAACAGGAAGAGAAAAAAUAUUGUGGGUUUUAGAGCUUCAGUGGUCUAAAGAAUGCUACUAUCAGAGAUGACUAUGGGGUGGUCAGUAAGAGGCUGGGAGUGUAAAAUCUAGGUACAAAUAGGACACCUUUCAGUGGAAAGGAAAAAGAUUGAUCCAGACAAUUUUUGUAAAAAGAUAGAAAGUGAUUCCCUAUGUCUUUGUUGUGCAUUCUUUCCAAAACUUUUGAAGAUAACCAAAAUUAAAUUAGUAAAAGCAAAAUCCUGUCACUUAAAUACAUAUAUGUUAAUUACCAACACAUAUAAGAUUAACUGGAUGGAAAGAGCAUGUAAAAAUACAGUAGGGGUUGAAAUAACAUGUUCGUAAUAGAGAAACAGGGUUGAAGUAUAUAGGAACUCUGCAAUAAUUCUGUAAAUCUAAAACUAAGUUUGUAAAAGAAAGGAAAAUCUGACUCAGAUAAGAGUUUUGGGGGGAGUUACUCAAAUCAACAAACUUUUUAAACUUGAUCUUAUAGAAAUUUUAGUACAAUAUUUCUGUCUUGUAUCUAGCAGAGUAGUUUAAGUUAUUGCUGCAGAUAAUCCCAAAAUUCCAGAGAGGAACCCUGCAGAGAUGGAAACUGGAAUAUUUGAUGCGCAGUAUUACAAUCUACCACUUGCCUCUCUAGAUGCACCAAAUGUAAGACUGGAUCUCAAAGACCCUUUGUAAUCUUAUGUGACUUCUGUUUGUCCUGUUAGCAAAAAGAAGACACUUUAAAUCCUUACGUUCUGCAGAAAUAAAACUCCAAAGAAAGCCCA